UAUCCGUAGGUGAACCUGCGGAAGGAUCAUUAUCAUGUAAUUCAGUCCCCUUGGCUGUGUUAUAUAUAUACCCACUCUGUGUACCUUCUCCUGUUGCUUCCGCUGGGUGUGUAAUUCGCCCGGCGGAAGGGUAAAAAUAACCUCUGAGUAUUGAUGAAAUCUCUGUCUGAACCGAAUAGAAAGAAAAAUGUUAAAACUUUCAGCAACGGAUCUCUUGGUUCUC
rnacentral:misc_RNA from 1 species